GGUUUUGAAGCUUUAAGACAAAUAUCAAAAAGAUGAUAUGGGAUGGAUUUGAGAAAGUUUGGCAGGACUUGUUGUGGGGGCUAUUCAAAGAAAACAGAGUAUCUUUUUUUAUACAAAUCUGAUCUGAGAGCCAGCCUGUGUGUUGAAUGAAUGAAAGAUCAAUUGAGAAGAAGCCAAAGGGAGAGAGUUGGAGAGUGAUAAACAAAGAGAAGAGAGUAUCUGAUUUUGCACAUGCUGUUGAUUCCUAGGCCAAUUUUGAUUUGAUAUACACUUGUCAAGAUGGAGGCCAAAAGACAAAAAAUUAUCUUAUUAGGGGCCAAAAAUAUAAUUUAUAAAAGAUAUGUAAUAAUUAUAUAUGUUAAUUAUAUAUUUGAAUUUAAUUGAUUUAUAUAAAGUUUGAAAAGUGACAAUCUUUUUUAUAUUUAGAAAAUCUGUCAUAAAAGGUAAGUUUUAUGAAUACAUUAAUUUCUAUUUU